rnacentral:rRNA from 1 species
AGUGAACGCUGGCGGUAGGCCUAACACAUGCAAGUCGAACGGCAGCACAGUAAGAGCUUGCUCUUACGGGUGGCGAGUGGCGGACGGGUGAGGAAUACAUCGGAAUCUACUUUUUCGUGGGGGAUAACGUAGGGAAACUUACGCUAAUACCGCAUACGACCUACGGGUGAAAGCAGGGGAUCUUCGGACCUUGCGCGAUUGAAUGAGCCGAUGUCGGAUUAGCUAGUUGGCGGGGUAAAGGCCCACCAAGGCGACGAUCCGUAGCUGGUCUGAGAGGAUGAUCAGCCACACUGGAACUGAGACACGGUCCAGACUCCUACGGGAGGCAGCGGUGGGGAAUAUUGGACGAUGGGCGCAAGCCUGAUCCAGCCGUACCGCGUGGGUGAAGAAGGCCUUCGGGUUGUAAAGCCCUUUUGUUGGGAAAGAAAAGCAGCAGGUUAAUACCCCGCUGUUCUGACGGUACCCAAAGAAUAAGCACCGGCUAACUUCGUG